CCUACGGGAGGCAGCAGUGGGGGAUAUUGGACAAUGGGGGGAACCCUGAACCAGCGACGCCGCGUGAGUGAAGAAGUAUUUCGGUAUGUAAAGCUCUGUCAGCCGGGAAGCAAGAACUGACGGUACCUGACCAAGAAGCCCCGGCUAAAUAAGUGCCAGCAGCCGCGGCAAUACGGCGGGGGCAAGCGUUAUCCGGAAUUACUGGGUGUACAGGGAGCGUAGACGGUUAAGUAAGUCUGGAGUGAAAGGCCGGGGCCAAACCCCGGGACUGCUCUGGAAACUAUUGAACUUGAGUGCAGGAGAGGUAAGCGGAAUUCCUAGUGUAGCGGUGAAAUGCGUAGAUAUUAGGAGGAACACCAGUGGCGAAGGCGGCUUACGGGACUGUAACUGACGUUGAGGCUCGAAAGCGUGGGGAGCAAACAGGAUUAGAUACCCGUGUAGUC
rnacentral:rRNA from 1 species